AUUUUUUUAAUAAAUAAAGACAAGGAAACAAAUUUUAAAAGGCUCAGAGAGAAACAGGUCACCUGAAAAGGAACAAGGAUCAAAAAUUUACAUCUCUUAUGGACUGAAUGUGCCCCUCCCUGACACCAAAUUCCUAUGUGAAAACCCUACUCCCCAAUGUAAUGAUGUUAGGAGGUAGGGUCUUUGGGAGGUAAUUAAGUAAUGAGGGUGAAGCCCUAGUGAAUGGGAUUAGUGCCCUUGUUAAAACUAACCUCACAGAGCUCUCUCACCCUCUCUGACAUGUAAGGACACAAAAAGAAGUUGGCAGUGUACAACCCCAAAGAACCCAACUGUGUUGGCACCUUCAUCUUGAACAUCCAGCCUCCGGAACUAGUGACAAAAUGAAGGAAUUCACCCCAAAAGAAAGAACAGGAAGAAAUGUCAGCCAGGGACUUAAUCAACACAGACAUAAAUAGCCACAUCUGUCAGCAGCCUAUCCUUGUUGCCCAAACUGUGAAGAACUGUGAGUGGUCUGAGAUUUUUCACCUAUUCCAACCUGGCAGGUUAGCCUGUCACAGGUUCUUAAGUGCCAGCAGAAGAUACGAGACUUCUGGAUCAGAGACAAAGCUCUUUAUUACUGCACACACAGUGGGCAACAUGUGUUUUACACCAAUUCCUCAUGUCCCCAAAUCCCAUGGGGAUCACACAAGUAGUCGUAGAUGGAUGCUGCACAUAGAGUGGGUUUAUAUCACAGCUGAGAAACUAGAAAUUAAGAAAUUUCCAUCUUUUAUAAGCAGCUUCAAGCAAACCUGCCCAACCUUUCCCCGGGGAAAGGGAGGAGGGGAGACAUUAUCUUUUUAUAUUGGACAGCAAACAAAUCUGUCCCCCUGGGCUAGAGUGACACUAUCUAUGUCCUCCAAAGCUAGACAAACAUUCUUGAAAGAUAGUCCAGAACAAAAACUGUCAGGGCCUCUGUUCUAAAAUGGCAGAAUAAGAGCUCAGUUGGGAGUGGAAAAUAACUCCCAAUACUUGUAAUGUUAAUUUCUUUUAUUGUGGUAAAAUAUAUAUACAAUUUACCACAGUAACAAUUUUUUUAAGUUUAUUUAUUGAUUUUGAGAGAGAGAAUGUGAGUGAGGGAGGGGCAGAGAGAGAGGGAGAGAGAGAGAGUCUCAAGCAGGUUCCACGCUGUAAGCACAGAGCCAGAUGCAGGGUUCAAUCUCAUGAACUGCAAGAUCGUGACCUGGGCCGAAAUCAAGAGUUGGACGGUUAACUGACUGAGCCACCUAGGUGCCCCUACCAUAUUAACAAUUUUUAAGUGUAUAAUUCGAACUGUGUUAUUAUUUUUAAUGCACUGCUGGUUUUGAUUUUCUAGUAUUUUAUUCAGAUCUUUUAUCUGUGCCUGUCAGUGGGACUGACCCAUAGUCAUCUUUUGUGUGAAAGCAGCACUGUCUAGUUUGAUGUCAUAGUUAUGUCGGCCUCCUAGAAUAAGUUAUGAAAUUUCUCUUUUCCCAUGCUCUGGAAUCCUGUGCAUUACAUGGGAAUUGAUGGCUCCUUAAAAGUUUGUUAGAGCUGACUCAUGAAAUCACCUGGGUAGACAUCUAUUUUUGAGGAAAACAUUUGACCACCUUUUCAAUUUCUUCAACAAAUAUUGAUCUUUUCAGAUAUUCUCCCCUUUCUCAAGUCAGUUUUGAUAAUUCAGUUUUUCAGAAACAUCUAUUUUAUAUAGAGUUUUCAAAAAUCUGUACCUUAGUAAUGUCUCUUUUCUUGUACAGUGUUUCUUUUUUUGUGUAUCUCUUCACUGAUUGACCAGAC